rnacentral:rRNA from 1 species
GACGAACGCUGGCGGCGUGCCUAACACAUGCAAGUCGAACGGAGUUCCACGCUGAAACAGAUACUAGCUUGCUAGAGGAAGUUUCUUGUGUAACUUAGUGGCGGACGGGUGAGUAACGCGUGAGCAACCUGCCUUACAGAGGGGGACAACAUUGGGAAACCGAUGCUAAUACCGCAUAACAUAUACUUGUGGCAUCGCAGGUAUAUCAAAGGAGCAAUCCGCUGUAAGAUGGGCUCGCGUCCGAUUAGAUAGUUGGUGAGGUAAACGGCUCACCAAGUCGACGAUCGGUAGCCGGACUGAGAGGUUGAACGGCCACAUUGGAACUGAGAAAACGGUCCAGACUCCUACGGGAGGCAGCAGUGGGGAAGUAAUUGGG